rnacentral:rRNA from 1 species
AGAGUUUGAUCCUGGCUCAGAAUGAACGCUGGCGGCGUGGAUUAGGCAUGCAAGUCGAACGAGAAAGUGGCCUUCGGGUCAUGAGUACAGUGGCGAACUGGUUAGUAACAGGUGGGAAACGUGCCUUUGGGUCUGGGAUAACUGUUGGAAACAGCAGCUAAUACCGGAUAGUGUUCUUGGGGUUUUGACCCUGGGGACUAAAGAUGCUUCGGUGUCACCUGAAGAUCGUCCCGCCCCUGAUUAGCUUGACGGUGGGGUAACGGCCUACCGUGGCGACGAUCAGUAGGUGGUCUGAGAGGAUGGUCACCAACACUGGGACUGAGAUACGGCCCAGACUCCUACGGGAGGCAGCAGUCUAGAGGCUUCCGCAAUGGGGGAAACCCUGACGGAGCGACGCCGCGUGUGUGAUGAAGGCCCUCGGGUCGUAAAGCACUGUCAGCAGGGAAGAAGGCGGUUGUGGUGUCCCACAGCCGAUUGACGGUACCUGCAGAGGAAGCCCCGGCUAACUCCGUGCCAGCAGCCGCGGUAAUACGGAGGGGGCAAGCGUUAUUCGGAACUAUUGGGCGUAAAGAGCGCGUAGGCGGACGGACAAGUCUGGUGUGAAAUCGCUACCGCUUAACGGAGCGCCGCCACUGGAAACUGUUCGUCUUGAGUGUGGCAGAGGUUGGUGGAAUUCCAGGUGUAGCGGUGGAAUGCGUA